UGGGGAAUAUUGCACAAUGGGCGAAAGCCUGAUGCAGCAACGCCGCGUGCGGGAUGACGGCCUUCGGGUUGUAAACCGCUUUCAGCAGGGACGAAGGUUUUCUGACGGUACCUGCAGAAGAAGCACCGGCUAACUACGUGCCAGCAGCCGCGGUGAUACGUAGGGUGCGAGCGUUGUCCGGAAUUAUUGGGCGUAAAGAGCUUGUAGGCGGUCCGUUGCGUCGGAAGUGAAAACUCAGGGCUUAACCCUGAGCCUGCUUUCGAUACGGGCGGACUUGAGGGAUGUAGGGGAGAACGGAAUUCCUGGUGGAGCGGUGGAAUGCGCAGAUAUCAGGAGGAACACCAGUGGCGAAGGCGGUUCUCUGGACAUUUCCUGACGCUGAGAAGCGAAAGCGUGGGGAGCAAAUCAGGCUUAGAUACCCUGGUAGUCCACGCCGUAAACGGUGGGCACUAGGUGUGGGACCCAUUCCACGGGUUCCGUGCCGUAGCUAACGCAUUAAGUGCCCCGCCU
rnacentral:rRNA from 1 species